rnacentral:lncRNA from 1 species
CAUUGGGAAUGGAGGGAAAUAAAUGACUGGAUGGUCGCUGCUUUUUGAGUUUCAAAUUGACAUUCUAGACAAGCGGUGCCUGAGCCCGUGCCUGUCUUCAGAUCUUCACAGCACAGUUCCUGGGAAGGUGGAGCCACCAGCCUCUCCCUGUCCUGGAGGCUGGAAGUGCAAGAGGAAGGUGUCGGCAAGAUCGUUUUUUUCUGAGAGCUCUCUCCUUGGCUUGCAGAUGGCAGCCUUCUCCUGGCACAGUCUUUUCUCUACUCACGCCCAAAGUUACGGAGGACCCAGCAACCGUCUCCUGCAGCCCCUGGAAACCUCUUGACUCUUCUGUGAUGUCCCCAGUGAUCCAGCAGCCCCGGCCUUCUUUUGAUGGCUGGAACAUUUGGUCUUCAUUGAACAGUUUGUAUAUUGGAAACUUGCCAGCCUCCAUCCACGUUCCAACCUCCAUCUGCAUCCCUCGAAUAACUGGGAGAUGAAACAGGAAGCUCUAUGACACACUUGAUCGAAUAUGACAGACACCGAAAAUCACGACUCAGCCCCCUCCAGCACCUCUACCUGUUGCCCGCCGAUCACAGCCGGAAUGCAGCUGAAAGAUUCCCUGGGGCCUGGUUCCAACCGCCCACUGUGGACUCUGAGGCCUCUGCAUUUGCGGGUGGUCUGCCUGUGAUAUUUUGGUCAUGGGCUGGUCUGGUCGGUUUCCCAUUUGUCUGGCCAGUCUCUAUGUGUCUUAAUCCCUUGUCCUUCAUUAAAAGCAAAACUAAAGAAAACAGAA